GUUCGACUGCAACGUUGGUGACUGCCAAUAUAGUUUGUUGAUCUUGCUUGACAUAUACGGGCAUCAAUUGCACUCGUGGCGGUAGACCGGACUUUGCUAUCCGGAAACUUGAAACUGAGAGUAUCGAUACCCACCUGGAUUCUUCCAGGUCAUAAACUGAGGUAAAACGGCGUUGCGGCGAACU
rnacentral:other from 1 species